rnacentral:lncRNA from 1 species
CAUUCAGUGAAAAAUGGCAGCCAUGAACAAUAUGCUCAUGAUGUUAAUGGUGGCUGCAAUUUUGUUUUGUAGCCACCAACAAGUGGCCACGGCGAGAGAAGUGGUUGUGGCAGAUGACAGGAAUGAGUUACAACUGCUUUGGCCAUGGGAAAUUCCCUGUUAUCUGACAUGGCCAUUUCCGUGGCCACCACCACCGCCAUGGCCAUGCCCUCCUCCACGACCACGUCCACGUCCACGUCCACGACCAUGCCCUAGCCCUCCUCCACCACCACGGCCACGACCAUGCCCUAGCCCUCCUCCGCCACCACAACCACGACCACGACCAUCUCCUCCACCACCUCCACCACCAUCCCCACCCCCUCCCGCCCCGAGUUCGAGCUGCUCGGCUAGUGACCAAGCAAAGGUUAAGAAGUGCAUGUUCAACACACCUAAAAUUGAUGAAUGCUGCCCAACAUUCAAGAGCAUACUUGGAACUAGUUGCCCUUGCUAUAAAUAUGCAGAGGAUUUGGAUAAUCAAGUGUUAAUCACUCUUGAAGCUU